AUGACCCCAAGUAAAUCAAAUGUAAUCAAAUGUAUUUAUAUAGCUGUUCUUACAUCAGCUGAUAUCUCAAAGUGCUGUACAGAAACCCAGCCUAAAACCUCAAACAGCAAGCAAUGCAGGUGUAGACGCACGGUGGCUAGGAAAAACUCCCUAGAAAGGCCAAAACCUAGGAAGAAACCUAGAGAGGAACCUGGCUAUGAGGGGUGGCCAGUCCUCUCCUGGCUAUGCCGGGUGGAGAUUAUAACAGAACAUGGCCAAGAUGUUCAAAUGUUCAUAAAUGACCAGCAUGGUCAAAUAAUGAUCACAGUAGUUGUCAAGGAUGCAACAGGUCAGCACCUCAGGAGUAAAUAUCAUUUGGCUUUUCAUAGCCGAUCAUUUAGAGUAUCUCUAUUGCUCCUGCUGUCUCUAGAAAGUUGAAAACAGCAGGUCUGGGACAGGUAGCACGUCCGGUGAACAGGUAGGGUUCCACAGCCGCAGGCAGGACAGUUGAAACUGGAGCAGCAGCACGGACAGGUGGACUGGGGACAGCAAGGAGUCAUCAUGCCAGGUAGUCCUGAGGCAUGGUCCUAGGGCUCAGGUCCUCCAAGAGAGAGAAAGAAAGAAAGAGAGAAAGAGAGAGAGAAUUAGAGAGAGCAUACUUCAAUUCAUACAGGACACCGGAUAAGACAGGAGAAAUACUCCAGAUAUAACAGACUGACCCUAGCCCCCCGACACAUAAACGACUGCAGCAUAAAUAAUGGAGGCUGAGACAGGAGGGGUCAGGAGACACUGUGGCCCCAUCCGAUGAUACCCCCGGACUGGGCCAAACAGGCAGGAUAUAACCCCACCCACUUUGCCAAAGCACAGACCCCAUACCACUACAGGGAUAUCUUCAACCACCAACUUACCAUCCUGAGACAAGGCCGAGUAUAGCCCACAAAGAUCUCCGCCACGGCACAACCCAAGGGGGGGCGCCAACCCAGACAGGAAGACCACGUCAGUGCCUCAACCCACUCAAGUGACGCACACCUCCUAGGGACGGCAUGGAAGAGCACCAGUAAGCCAGUGACUCAGCCCCUGCAUUAGGGUUAGAGAAUCCCAGUGGAGAGAGUGGCAGUUCGUUGCUCCAGUGCCUUUCCGUUCACCUUCACACUCUUGGGCCAGACUACACUCAAUCAUAGGACCUACAGAAGAGAUGAGUCUUCAAUAAAGACUUAAAGGUUAAGACCGAGUCUGAGUCUCUCACAUGGGUAGGCAGACCAUUCCAUAAAAAUGGAGCUCUAUAGGAGAUAGCCCUGCCUCCAGCUGUUUGCUUAGAAAUUCUAGGGACAAUUUCGAGGCCUGUGUCUUGUGACCGUAGCAUACGUGUAGGUAUGUACGGCAGGACCAAAUCGGAAAGAUAGGUAGGAGCAAGCCCAUGUAAUGCUUUGUAGAUUAGCAGUAAAACCUGGAAAUCAGCCCUUGCCUUAACAGGAAGCCAGUGUAGGGAGGCUAGCACUGGAGUAAUAUGAUUCUUGGGUUCUAGUCAGGAUUCUAGCAGCCGUAUUUAGCACUAACUGAAGUUUAUUUAGUGCUUUAUCCGGGUAGCCGGAAAGUAGAGCAUUGCUGUAGUCUAACCUAGAAGUGACAAAAGCAUGGAUUAAUUUUUCUGCAUCAUUUUUGGACAGAAAAUUUCUGAUUUUUGCAAUGUUACGUAGAUGGAAAAAAUCUGUCCUUGAUAUGUUCGUCAAAAGAGAGAUCAGGGUCCAGAGUAACGCCAAGGUCUUUCAAAGUUUUAUUUAUACAACCAUCAGUUUUAUUUGAGACGACUGUACAACCAUUAAGAUUAAUUGUCAGAUUCAACAGAAGAUCUCUUUGUUUCUUGGGACCUAGAACAAGCAUCUCUGUUUUGUCCGAGUUUAAAAGUAGAACGUUUGCAGCCAUCCACUUCCUUAUGUCUGAAACACAGGCUUCCAGCGAGGGUAAUUUUGGGGCUUUACCAUGUUCCAUCGAAAUGUACAGCUGUGUGUCAUCCGCAAAGCAGUGAAAGUUAACAUUAUGUUUUCGAAUGACAUCCCCAAGAGGUAAAAUAUAUAGUGAAAACAAUAGUGGUCCUAAAACGGAACCUUGAGGAACAGCAACAUUUACAGUUGAUUUGUCAGAGGACAAACCAUCCACAGAGACAAACUGAUAUAUUUUAUCUGAUAUCUUCAGAUAAGAUCUAAACCAGGCCAGAACUUGUCUGUGUAGACCAAUUUGGGUUUCCAAUCUCUCCAAAAGAAUGUGGUGAUCGAUGGUAUCAAAAGCAGCACUAAGGUCUAGGAGCACGAGGAAAGAUGCAGAGCCUCGGUCUGACGCCAUUAAAAGGUCAUUUACCACCUUCACACAUGCAGUCUCGGUGCUAUGAUGGGUUCUAAAACCAGACUGAAGCAUUUCGUAUACAAUUUUUUUUCUACAGGAAGGCAGUGAACUGCUGCGCAACUGUUUUUUCUAAAAUGUUUGAGAGGAAUGGGAGAUUCGAUAUAGGCCGAUAGUUUUUUUUUUUAAAUUCUGAGUCAAGGUUUGGCUUUAUUAAGAGAGGCUUUAUUACUUUUAGUGAGUUUGGUACACAUCCGGUGGAUAGAGAGCCAUUUAUUAUGUUCAACAUAGGAGGGCCAAGCACAGGAAGCAGCUCUUUCAGUAGUUUAGUUGGAAUAGGGUCCAAUAUGCAGCUUGAAGGUUUAGAGGCCAUUAUUAUUUUCAUCAUUGUGUCCUAGGUCCUGGCAGAGUUGUGCAGACUCAGGACAACUGAGCUUUGGAGGAAUACGCAGAUUUAAAGAGGAGUCCAUAAGCAUACUUCCAAAGUUGUGGCAAAAUGGCUUAAGGACAACAAAGUCAAGGUAAUGGAGUGUCCAUCACAAAGCUCUGACCUCAUCCCAUGGAAGAUUUGUGGGCAGAACUGAAAAAGUGUGUGCAAACAAGGAGGCCUUACAAACCUGACUCAGUUACACCAUCUCUGUCAGGAGGAAUGGGCCAAAAUUCACCCAACUUAUUGUGGGAAGCUUGUGGAAGGCUACCAGAAACUUUUGACCCAAGUUAAAGAAUAUAAGGGCAAUGCUACAAAAUACUAAUUGAGUGUAAACUUCUGACCCACUGGGAAUGUGAUGAAAGAAAUAAAAGCUGAAAUAAAUAAUUCUCUCUACUAUUAUUCUGACAUUUCACAUUCUUAAAAUAAAGUGGUGAUCCUAACUGACCUAAGACAGUGACUUUUUACUAGGAUUAAAUGUCAAGAAUUGUGAAAAACUGAGUUUAAAUGUAGUUUGCUAAGGUGUAUGUAAACUUCCGACUUCAACUGUAGCUUUUAAGUGCUUUGGAGUCAAAACCUCCCUCACCUUUAAAUUGUUCAAAUUUAGUUUUUUUGUUUGAUCCUUCUCAGGUUAAUUGCGCUGAAGCCUUUUAUUAUCUGGCAUUUGACUGAGUAAAUAAAGAUAAUUAAUUAAUUAGAAUUCUUCUUCGCUCCCCUUCUAUAUUAUUAUCUAUAUAAGUCAAAACAUGGAGCGUCCACCUUAGAACCUUUUCUCAUGCACUGAAGAAUGUGGAGAUGAGUGUACGGAGAUAGUAGAGAUCCUGUGUGUAAUUGUGUACGCUAGUGUGUGCGGUGCAUGUACAGUACAUACACACCUUCGUGUGAGUCAGAGAGUGUCUCCAAGAGACCUGAAAGUUAUUGAUGGUCCAGAUCUAAGCUCAGUAGUCUUCCCUCCCUCCCACUACCCAGCAUUCUUUUCAGGACCACAUCCACCCAGCCAAGCCCUUAACAGUUUUCUCUCUCCUUCUUUCUUUCUCUCUCUCUCUCUCUCUCUCUCUCU
rnacentral:lncRNA from 13 species